AGGUAACGGCUCACCAAGGCGACGACGGGUAGGGGACCUGAGAGGGUGACCCCCCACACUGGGACUGAGACACGGCCCAGACUCCUACGGGAGGCAGCAGUGAGGAAUAUUGCUCAAUGGGCGAAAGCCUGAAGCAGCGACGCCGCGUGGACGAUGAAGGUCUUCGGAUCGUAAAGUCCUUUUCUGUGUGACGAGGAAGGACGGUAGCACAGGAAUAAGUGUCGGCUAACUACGUGCCAGCAGCCGCGGUAACACGUAGGACGCAAGCGUUAUCCGGAAUUACUGGGCGUAAAGAGCGUGUAGGCGGUGCUGUAAGUCAACCGUGAAAGCUCCCGGCUAAACUGGGAGAGGUCGGAUGAGACUGCAGCGCUAGUGGGUCGUAGAGGAAUGUGGAAUUCCGGGUGUAGUGGUGAAAUGCGUAGAGAUCCGGAGGAACACCAGAGGCGAAGGCGGCAUUCUGGACGACAUCAGACGCUGAGACGCGACAGCACGGGGAGCGAACGGGAUUAGAAACCCCGGUAGUCCGUGCCGUAAACGAUGUGUACUAGAUGUUCGGUUGACUACGGUUGAUUGAGCGUCGAAGCAAACGCGAUAAGUACACCGCCUGGGGAGUACGGUCGCAAGGCUAAAACUCAAAGGAAUUGACGGGGCCCCGCACAAGCAGCGGAGCGUGUGGUUUAAUUCGAGGCUACGCGAAGAACCUUACCUAGGUUUGACAUCUGGCGCUAUCCUGUGAAAGCAGGAGUUCCGCAAGGACGCCAAGACAGGUGCUGCAUGGCUGUCGUCAGCUCGUGUCGUGAGAUGUUCGGUUAAGUCCGAAAACGAGCGCAACCCCCGGGUCUAGUUACAAGUGUCUAGACCGACUGCCUGCGACAAGUGGGAGGAAGGUGGGGAUGACGUCAAGUCAGCAUGGCCUUUACAUCUAGGGCUACACACACGCUACAAUGGCGCGUACAGUGGGAAGCAAGACCGCGAGGUGGAGCGAAUCCUGAAAGCGCGUCGUAGUUCGGAUUGCAGGCUGCAACUCGCCUGCAUGAAGCUGGAGUUGCUAGUAAACGUAGGUCAGCACACUACGUUGAAUACGUUCUCGGGGCU
rnacentral:rRNA from 1 species